rnacentral:rRNA from 1 species
UACGUAGGGGGCAAGCGUUGUCCGGAUUUAUUGGGCGUAAAGAGCGUGUAGGCGGCUAUGCAGGUCCGCUGUGAAAACUCGAGGCUCAACCUCGAGACGUCGGUGGAAACCGGCAUGGCUAGAGUCCGGAAGAGGAGAGUGGAAUUCCUGGUGUAGCGGUGAAAUGCGCAGAUAUCAGGAGGAACACCAGUGGCGAAGGCGGCUCACUGGCCCGGAACUGACGCUGAGGUGCGAAAGCGUGGGGAGCAAACAGG